GUGUGUUGAAACCCGCAUGACAAUUAUGAAAUUAACGGGAGACAGAUAAUCGGCUUGAAAGGAAAUUUGGAUUUGGACUGAUUUUCAAUAGUGGAGGAUUCAGACAGACUGGGUGGAACUAAGAAGGAAGCAAGAGAGUCCUGGACCACAGCGAUGACUGAGCCUUCCCGUGCAAAGCCUGGCUCUCAUAACAGAUGUUCCCACUGAACUCAGGCUGUGUCAGAACCAGAGCUAGCUCGACUACAAAGACCAAACCCAGGGCCUAUUACAGCACGCUCAGCUCCAGGGUUUCCAGAAGCAUGCUGUGAUUCAAACUCAGGGCAAGUACGAGGCGUACGAGGCAAGUAUUACACCACUGAACUACAUUUACUUUUAAUCGAAUGGAAACAUAAGGUGGACUAAUGAAGUCUUUUUAUCUGCGUGGACAAAAGAAGGCAGAAAUGGUUAUUAUGAAAGGAGGGAAGACAGAAGAAAGGACCUGUGACCUCACAAACAACAACACGAAACUCCUACUAUAGACUAUUGCAUCUCAAGAGCAGGCACUCACUCCAGACUUUGCAGAAUCGAGAAAUUAAUGAAAACCUCAAGACUGUAUCCUCAGAGCCACUGAGGAAUGAUAAUUACAGACAGUAUUUCUGGAGCAGACACAUAACCUUGGUUCCCAGGGUACCCCCUAAAGCAUUCUAAUAGUAUGCUAUUUGUGGAAGGUUUUUCCACCUUUAAUAACAGAGAAAUAAUGUGAGAGGGAAAGAAAUCCCUUAUUUAGCCACUGGGGUGUUAUUAUUGAGCCCCAGCUGAAAGCCCCCUUAAAAACAUCCAUAUGGCAGAAGAACGUGUUUCCCCAUGAAAUCAAAACUGAGUACGUCUGAGACUUCUGAACAUCUUUUUCCUUGGAUCUUAAAAUGGAUCUGUGCAUAUUUGUGGAAAACAUUUUUAUGAUGUGCUAUCUUCCAAAGUGAAUGGUUAUUUAUAAUUCAUAAAAGACCUGGGCACAGGAAAAUUCUCCCCUUUUAUGAGUCCCGUAAAGUUAGGCCAGCUGAUCAGAACAUAUUACAGACAUCAGCCUCCCCGUAUGGUUGAAGUUUUUCCUCUUCAGACUAAACACAAAGGCUUGGUGGUACUGAGUCUGUUGCUUCGAAGCGAGCAGGGUCCAAAUCUCUUUUGAUUAAAUGUUAAAUAAACAAAACAUCACUCCCGGAACCAAUCUCUGAAGACACAGAAGGGAAAAAUACUUGGAAUGCUAAACAUACUUUUAAAAUCUCGCGUAGUCGUUAUAAGAACGACAGUAUGUUUUAAAUGGAUUUUCUUUUUUGUUUCCAGCAUUUAACUAGACGUUGGAUGUGGUCACCGUGUCCUCAUUUCCUCUCAGCUGGUCAGAGACUUGAGUCAGCGUCCUGGUGCCAUGAGCAAGAGUGACUUGGGUUGGUGAUGAGGACACUGGGGACGUGGACCCAAGACCGGGACCCUGGUGCCAAGGGUUUCCACCCAGUUGCACCUGGUCACCCCCACAAGCCAUGAUGUCAUCAAGAGCUAUUUCCUGCGAAGAGCUGUGCUUCUUCAUGCUGCUGGCAGCAUGUCCACCUCAUUCGCUGGUGUGCCACACAGCCGGCCACAUAAGGGAAUUACACAGACAUUUCAGCGCUCUCAAUUAGACCUGAAAAUAGCAUGUCUUCACUGUCUUUGAACUUCCCCGCCCUCUAAUAUUCCAAAUGAGCCCUGUCAACUCUAUUUUAGAAUUAUGUGGAGAUAGAAACUCUUUUUCCCCCUCCGUCCAGACAUUUAGAUGACUUUAAAAAAAUAUGGGUUGCUAACUGCUAAACGCAAAAGGGCAGUUCAUCCUUCAACAGGGUUCUUGUCUACAAAGAACUGAUUUGCUCUCUAUUCUACUCCACACGCCUGCCCUACUACUGCCCACAAUCGAUGGUUUUCAAUCGCUUUUAAAGCCUUGCUGCACAGAGUAUUUCUUUGAUCUCCUAGGCAGUUUGGAGAGCUCAAACUGUAGGGCUGAAGUUAAUACUAAAGUUCCUUGCUUCUGCACAAUUAAGAGUCCCACCAAUAGUGUUUGGCAAAGGAAAAGAGACUCAGUCAAGAGGCUACCAUUUUGGUUUGCAAACCAUGCUGCAGGCUUGCCUUAAAUGGCUAUGUUAGCUUUCUGUUAUUGCAACACAUGCUUGAGAUAAUCAGAUGGUAGAGUAAAAAGAUUUGCUUUGGCUCAUGAUUAUCGUUUUGGUGCAUGGCCAUUGGCCUCCCUGUCUCUGGGAGUAUGACAAGGGAGCACGUGGGUGGUGGUGGCUCAUGGCAGAAUAUACUCAAUGCAUGACCAGAACAACAACAGCAGCAGCAGAACAAAACUGGAGCCCCAACACUUCCCCUCCGAAGAAUGCUCUCCAAUGAAUGGGAGACCUCCCACUAGGCCCUACCUCUUGACAUUUUCAUCACCUCCCAAUAGCACCAAACUGAAGAUAAAACCUUUAGUGUAUGGGUCUUUGAGGGGCAUUCCAGAUCGAAACUACAGCAGAUGGGAAGAGUGACAUGGGAAGAAUUCAGUCCAUUUCUGUCCUUCUUAUGAGUUAUUAAGGUUUCAGCUUCCAGAGACCAGUGUGGAUGAGGCUGGGUAGCCAAGUGGUAAUAGCCAAGCAGCUUUUGAAGUGAGCUUGUCAUCAUCUUGAGCUGCCUGACUCUGAAGGGCAGAAUGGAGAGAGCUCAACCUGACCAGAUGCCAACGGCCCCAUGUGGCACCACGAGUAGGACUGGCAAAUGCAAUAUUUAUUCAGAGGGUCUUGACAACAUCGUCAUGAAGUCACCCAUCUUCCCCUAAGCGGUUUGCAUCUUAUAAGAUCCACCAUCAAGAGGCUCAAUGAGCGGGCUGGAGAGAUGGCUCAGCGGUAAGAGCAUUGCCUGCUCGUCCAAAGGUCCUGAGUUCAAUUCCCAGCAACCACAUGGUGGCUCACAACCAUCUGAAAUGA